rnacentral:lncRNA from 1 species
CUCCUGAGAGCCCUGAAGAUGGCAUCUCGGCAGCUCUUUCUGAUUUGGAAGGCUCUUUCAACGAGGGUUUUUAUCAUCAUCAGCGUCCACUGUUUGUGGGACUCUGAUCCUGAGCCCAAGAAAGUGUGGUGUCCCUCUGACAACCUGUCCCUUCGAGCUGGAGCCUGCUGUAGUGCCUUCUGAGUAGAUAAAGGGCUGUGUGUGCAGGCCAUACACAUGCCCUCCCAAAAGGAAGAGUAAGGCAGAUAAAUAUCCUUGUUAACCCCUGGAUAAUAUGCAGUUCUUCAAUCUAGCAGACUCCUCACUUUAUAGGGUCUUUUCACUGUAUCAGCAGAUGCCCUCUGGUGCCCCCAAAGGUCCUAGCCCACCUCCUGCAAUGUCUCAGAUGCAGCAGUGGGGACACUGAUUAGGAAAUACUGUUCUUUUUUUUUUUUUUUUUUUGGUGGUAUCUUGGUAACCCCAAAUGAAGCACAUUUGUCUUUAUUGCAAAGUAAAGAAUUUGUAUUUCUUUGUUUCACGGCACUAAUUUUCGAAUGAAACAAGAUACAACAUGGAAAACAUUUCUUCCAAUAAAUAAAGAUUAUUUUCCUUAAACAAACAGCUGGCUUAGAUACUUAUUUCUUUCAAUCUCAGCUCCCAUAUUAUAUUUUUUUUUUUCUGUACCCUUCAUUGAAAAGAAACAAAAGCAGACACAACAACUGCCUCUUACAUCGUCCUUCAUUUCUUUCUUUAAAUUUCCCUGCAGAUGAAGAAAAGGGAAGAAUCUGUUCUUCUGUCAGAGGACAACACAACACUUGGCCUGGCUGACUUUGGGCUUCAAGACAGGACCAGCUCCACGGUGCCACUCUCCACCUGGGUUGAUGGAGUAUUUCCUACUGCAGCCAAAUCAGAAUUGUCAUUAUGUGAAUGUGAGGUGCCUGGACAGGUUCAUCUGGGACCAGCAGAUCUGUUCCUACAACACCGAGGGGGCUGCUGUGCCCGUCUGCUGCUGUCUCAGAGAAACAACACGGAAGAAGACACACAGCAUGAUGCCUAAAUCCACAGCAAACCUCUGUGAGUCUGUUUUUCUCUCUCAUUAUUCAGAGGAACCCUUGCUCCCUGCUCUUUCCCUGCUCUAUUCCCUCUCUUGCUGGUGUUGCCUACAAGAGGAGGGUGCUGCCCCUUCCCAUUUCAGAACUGUGAGUUUGCAAAUCUGCAAAUUCAGGGAUAACCUCACAGAGAUUAUCACAGGGAGACCAGUGAUGCUGGGAGGAAGGACUCUGCUCGUGCUUGAGCUUCCCAGCCCUGCACACACCUGCAGAGAGACGAGGGGAAUAGCUAAUAGCAUUUCUAAGAAAUGUGUUGUACUUUGAGCGAUUUAUCUAAGGGUCUGAAAGGAUUUAAUAACCGAGAGCUAAUUAAAUGUACUAAUUAACCCAGUGUUUAAUCUCAGCUCUUCACGAGAUUUCUGUGCUGCCGGAGCACGGGCGCCGUCCCGUAUAUCAUGACAUCCAGCCACUUUGCUUAAUUGUGAUUCCUCGGCACACGGUGCGGGCACUCGGCUGCACAGGUGAUGAGAGGAACACGAAAGCCUACGUGCAGGAGGAAAUUGGAGAGGCGAAGCCAGCUCCGUGUGACUAACGACCCAGGAGAUUAUUUCCAUGAAGAGGACACUGACAGCUAAUUUGCUCCCCCCCCCCCCCUUAUCACUGGUUUGUUCCUGCCACCACUGGUUUGCUGAGGGGAAUGGGAAGCAUCUUUUUCUGGAUGCAAGGACAAAGUGGCUGUGUCACUCCUUGGUCCUGUCCUUGUCACCAUGGCUCUGAGCAGCUCUGCUACAACCAGGAGAUGGACACCGCUCACUUUCUCUUCUUACCACCCUUCCCCAUGGGCUGGCUGCUCCAGGAGGGUUUAUACUGGAGCUACUGGUGCAGUUUUGGUGCACAACCCACAUAAUCAACCCUCAGAUCUACGGGAUCUGUUGCCACAGUGCCACACAAGAAGGAACAUCCAACGUGGGUGCUUAAAGCCAGCAGGAGAUCUGAAGCAAUGUGACCUUCUUGCUUCCAGGGCUGAAUAAUUCCUGGCUCCGGAGCUGUGGGUUGUUGUUGGUGGGCUCAGGAGGAAGAGAGACGGCGCUCACAAGAUCCCAAAUCCUGGCACGUGACCAGGGGAACCACCCCAAGAUCUAUGUGCAGAAUUUAGUGGAGGACAUCUGAAAUCCUGUCAUUGCUUCUGCUCCUAGCUGGCAUGGAAACUAUGCUCAGGCAGCUUCCAAAACCCACAGACUGCCCAGCCUGGGGCAGAAGAAUUCCCCACAACAGCACUUUUUACGCCAGUACUUUCAGUUCCCUCCCAGCUUUGACUCCGUCU